UACGCAGGUGGCAAGCGUUGUCCGGAUUUACUGGGCGUAAAGCGCACGCAGGCGGUUUGGCGCGUGGGGUGUGAAAUCUGGCCGCUUAACGGCCAGGCGCCAUCCCAUACGGCUAGACUGGAGUGAUGCAGAGGUCGGUGGAAUUGCCGGUGUAGUGGUGAAAUGCGUAGAGAUCCGGAGGAACACCAGUGGCGAAGGCGACACGCUGGGCCGUACCGUGACGCUAAAGCGCGACAGCAUGGGGAGCAAACGGG
rnacentral:rRNA from 1 species